AAUUUUUUUUGUAGAAUAACAUAUCAUAAAUUUUUCUGGAAAAAUCUUCGGUUUCAUUGUUAUUGUUUGUUAUAGGGAUGCUGAGGCAUUAACUGAUGAGAUUGAAUAGGAGUCUCAGAUUUUUGGGGAGGUUUUGAGAAUUAAAGAGAUUGUGGAAAACAGUGAAGACGAGGUUUUUUUCUCAUCAUUUUCUACUUGUAUUCUAUUUGUUUGUUAGUGUAUUUUUAUGAAGAUUUAUUAAUUAGUUCUUUUUAG
rnacentral:lncRNA from 1 species